UUUUUGUUUCUAAAUUGCCUGUGACACAUC
rnacentral:piRNA from 1 species